rnacentral:rRNA from 1 species
CCUACGGGGAGCUGCAGUGAGGAAUAUUGGUCAAUGGACGAGAGUCUGAACCAGCCAAGUAGCGUGAAGGAUGACUGCCCUAUGGGUUGUAAACUUCUUUUAUAUGGGAAUAAAACGUUCCACGUGUGGGAUUUUGUAUGUACCAUAUGAAUAAGGAUCGGCUAACUCCGUGCCAGCAGCCGCGGUAAUACGGAGGAUCCGAGCGUUAUCCGGAUUUAUUGGGUUUAAAGGGAGCGUAGGUGGAUUGUUAAGUCAGUUGUGAAAGUUUGCGGCUCAACCGUAAAAUUGCAGUUGAAACUGGCAGUCUUGAGUACAGUAGAGGUGGGCGGAAUUCGUGGUGUAGCGGUGAAAUGCUUAGAUAUCACGAAGAACUCCGAUUGCGAAGGCAGUUCACUGGACUGCAACUGACACUGAGGCGCGAAAGUGUGGGUAUCAAACAGGAUUAGAUACCCUAGUAGUC